rnacentral:tRNA from 5 species
GCCGACUUGGCUCAAUGGCAGAGCAGCUGAUUUGUAAUCAGCAGGUUGUUGGUUCGACUCCGACAGUCGGCUCUA